UUAUAAUUUAUGUAUCUAGGCAGGUACGCAUAUAUGAUUAAAACAAUUAUAACUUAUUAAAAAUUAAAGCUUCGUUAUAUCGAUGUUUGUUUUGCAUUAUGCCCAAACAUUGCACACACGAAACGCAGUAAAACGAUCGUAUAAAAGAGUUGAAUAUAUUUGAAAGUAUAUACCAAAUCUCGUUGAAACAAAUCUCUUAUAAAAUACUUUGAUGUACGGUCCGCUGUGUGUGCUUCGUUUUAACAACUUCCAGAGGUUGCGUUAGACUUCUAUGGUCAUAAAAGUUCCGUCAUAAUUACUUUAACUAACACUUUAUUUUCAUUUUCAUAACAAGUCGUUUGACUGAUCCUUAAUGACACAGAAGUACCGCGAGAGCGAUUUGAGAGCUGUGCUCUUACAGCUGUCUCGCGGUACUUGACGUCAUAAGAUGAUGGUUCUGCGCAUCGCUGGUUAACGCCACCACUGAGCUUUGUCAUCUCGACGUACUUUGUUAGAAAUAUCCUUUGCACGUAUUUAGAAACUUUCUACAAGGACGUAAUUGAGCUCAUUCGCGUUAUCUGCAUGCAAACGUGUUCAGGAUUUUGCGUUUAAACAAGUCCUUGAAGUGGGGAAUCCACGACUCCAUUAAGUGAAACAUGCGUUCUUUUAAUGUUGUAUACAAGAAAUCUAAUAUGUCGUUUAACUAUUGCAGAGACCCCAUUAGUGUCAUUUUUUCCUGCAUAUUUGACGACGUUUGGGACAAUCACUUACUUAAGAGACCCCAUAAGUGUCAUUAUUCCAGCAUAUUUUGACUACGUUUGGGACAAUCACUCACGUAAGAGACCUCAUCAGUGACAACCAGCACAUUUUGACUCAACAUUGAUACAGAGGAAGACGAAUGGUUACUCUGAAGAGGCACAUCCUCAUAUAAGAUAACAAGAAAAAAAUGUCAAGUCCGGUCAGUCUGAGGAUUGUUUUUGGUCGGGAUGGUGAUGCAAGAAAACUUACACUUAAGAGUGGGAUACCAUCAUCUCUGAAAGAUCUUGUCCAUGAGAUAAUGACUGUUUUUGGGAUUAAGCAGAAGUUCAGGCUUCAGUUCAAAGAUAAGGACUUUGGAAAUGAAUAUAUGAAUCUCAUGUCUACCAGUGAAAUUGAAGAUAAGGAUACCCUUAAACUGAUUUUUCUAUCAACUGAUGACUCUAAUAACAGCAUGCAAGAACCUGAGCCUGAUGUAGCUUCCUGUUCUACCAUUCAUGUUCCUUCACCCAGUUCAUCAUGUUCCUCUGAUACUGCUGACAUGAGAGAUGCUAGUCUUUGUGCUAUGGACUCAGUCGAAGAAGUCAACUUGUCUGAUGACUCGGUUUGCAGCA